rnacentral:tRNA from 1 species
GCCCGGGUGGCGGAAUCGGUAGACGCAGGGGACUCAAAAUCCCCCGGCCUUCGGGCCUUACGAGUUCGAGUCUCGUCCCGGGUA